rnacentral:rRNA from 1 species
UAGGGAAUAUUGCUCAAUGGGGGAAACCCUGAAGCAGCAACGCCGCGGGGAGGAUGAAGGUUUUCGGAUUGUAAACUCCUUUUCUAAGAGAAGAUUAUGACGGUAUCUUAGGAAUAAGCACCGGCUAACUCCGUGCCAGCAGCCGCGGUAAAUACGGAGGGUGCAAGCGUUACUCGGAAUCACUGGGCGUAAAGGAGCGCGUAGGCGGGAUAGCAAGUCAGAUGUGAAAUCCUAUGGCUUAACCAUAGAACUGCAUUUGAAACUGUUAUUCUAGAGUAUGGGAGAGGUAGGUGGAAUUCUUGGUGUAGGGGUAAAAUCCGUAGAGAUCAAGAGGAAUACUCAUUGCGAAGGCGACCUGCUGGAACAUAACUGACACUGAAGCACGAAAGCGUGGGGGAUCAAAACAGGAUUAGAUACCC